rnacentral:tRNA from 1 species
GUCAUUGUAGCUUAUUUUUUUAAAGCGCGGCACUGAAGAUGCUGAGACGGGGAUUAAAAAAACCUCCACGGACA